AAUUAAUAAAAGUUUUACACGUUAGAGUGCGUUAACCGCGAAGGAGCAGAGAUGAAGUUCAAUGCAGAUGACUUAGGCUCCUUCACUCAUUUACUGUUUUUCAAGGUAGAAUAUUACAGCAGGUCCAUAAGAUAUUGUGUGAAGUGGAAAGGAUCCAUGUGUCCCCAACGCUCCAACAGACAGCCUAGGGCCUCCAAGAAGAACACCAAGACAAGCCCCGCUCCAGAGGAAGAAGUCAUCCAGCGUCAGCUGAGAGGGCGGAGGGGGAAAGGCAGUACUGGUGACAGCCUCUGUAUCGCAGGUGAGGGAACAGGGUGCGACAUCCUCGACAUCAUUACCACUCAGGAAGAGAAGCAUGUUGGUGAAGAAGAUGGGGGAAAGGCGGUAGAGAUAGCUCAUAAAGAACUGGACGACUUGGAUGAAGACCGAGUCUCUGUUUGCAGCAGCACAGCGUCUGGUCCCUCUUUUUAUCACUCCACCUACAGAAAAGCGAGGCCUUCCCAGAACCUGUGCUUGGCCUGUCAGAAGCUCUACCAGAAAGCAAAGAAGAUAAAAACACCAAUCAUAAACAAACUGCUGGACAAUGAUCCUAUGUCCCCGACAUGUGACCAGUGGGUCCUUAUCAAAAAGCGGACAUCCCAAAGGUGGCCUGAUGCAAGAGGGAAGCUUUUGAGCCACAUAAAGAAGAUAAAGAAGGCCUGUGAGAAACAAAGUGAGCAGCGUGUGGAAGAAUCUGCCGUCUGUUCAAGGCCGCACACUUUCCUCCACAGGAACCUCAGACGAUGUGUGAAAGCGAAAAAGGAGAGGAAGAAGAAUAAGAACAGGAGGAAGAGACAGAGAGACGGUUCGCAGGGUACUCGUGCCGCUAAGCAGCAGCGUCUCCACACCAACACUCCCAUCAAGAUGACCUGUGUAGAGCCAAACAGCCGCCGAAAAAGCAGCAGUCAGGGGAACAGAGGUGUGACUGCUGAGGCGAUUCCCUCGUCUGUGACACAGGAAGCCACCACACCAAGCAAGAGAACACCAAAGCAGACGGGUAGAUUCAGAAACUUGCUGGCUGAGCUACGGAGCAAGAGCAGCAUGAUUGUAAGAGAAACACACUAGUGAGGAGGCAGGAUUCGAGUGCUAAUCGCUUUUAGUCGUGAUGUUCUGCUGGUCUUCAGUAUUGUUACCUAUUCGGUGGCCUAUGCCUAGAGUUACUUGACAAAGUGCCGUCGCAGUUCUGUGCAUGUUUUGUUUGUGAUCCUUUAAAAUUAAAAAUAAUAUUUAUUUAAUGUUCCUUACAACUGGACAGCUGUGAAUAAAUGUUUA
ensembl:lncRNA